CUAUGCGCCUUGCCAGCCCGCUCAGGUGUGCCAGCAGCCGCGGUAAUACGUAGGGGGCAAGCGUUAUCCGGAUUUACUGGGUGUAAAGGGAGCGUAGACGGCAGGGCAAGUCUGGAGUGAAAGGCGGGGGCUCAACCCCCGGACUGCUCUGGAAACUGCCAGGCUGGAGUGCAGGAGAGGUAAGUGGAAUUCCUAGUGUAGCGGUGAAAUGCGUAGAUAUUAGGAGGAACACCGGUGGCGAAGGCGGCUUACUGGACUGUAGCUGACGUUGAGGCUCGAAAGCGUGGGGAGCAAACAGG
rnacentral:rRNA from 1 species